rnacentral:piRNA from 1 species
UGACUCUGGAGUACUUCUCAACAGUGAAC